GUGUGUGUGUGGAUUGUUUUCAGCUUCAGGGACAGGCAUAUAUCCUUGUGUGUGUGGAUGGUGUUCAGCACCAGUGACAGGUGUGUUUGCUU
rnacentral:pre_miRNA from 1 species